rnacentral:rRNA from 1 species
AUUGAACGCUGGCGGCACGCCUUACACAUGCAAGUCGAACGGUAACGGGCCUUCGGGUGCCGACGAGUGGCGAACGGGUGAGUAAUACAUCGGAACGUGCCCGAUCGUGGGGGAUAACGAGGCGAAAGCUUUGCUAAUACCGCAUACGAUCUACGGAUGAAAGCAGGGGACCGCAAGGCCUUGCGCGGACGGAGCGGCCGAUGGCAGAUUAGGUAGUUGGUGGGAUAAAAGCUUACCAAGCCGACGAUCUGUAGCUGGUCUGAGAGGAUGAUCAGCCACACUGGGACUGAGACACGGCCCAGACUCCUACGGGAGGCAGCAGUGGGGAAUUUUGGACAAUGGGCGCAAGCCUGAUCCAGCCAUGCCGCGUGCAGGAUGAAGGCCUUCGGGUUGUAAACUGCUUUUGUACGGAACGAAAAGCCUUCUUUUAAUACAGGAGGGUCAUGACGGUACCGUAAGAAUAAGCACCGGCUAACUACGUG